UGUUUAUUUCCACUUUUGAUCUCCUGAUCAGUCUUGACGUGUUCUUAUUUGAAGUCAAUUAAUUGUAUGUUACUAAUAUUGUAGGUUACGAAGGGACUAUUGAGAGGGCUUAUUGUAGUUGUUGAUUACUGGUCAUGUGACUAUUGAGAGGGAUUAUUUGAAUGUUAUCCAAAAGACAACACAGGAUAUCCAUGUAUGUUGAUGAUGAUGAUGAUGAUCAGGGUAGGAGCCGGUCUCUUGUCAGAAAUACGCAAAAGGUAGAACAUGGACGUGUUAUCAAGUGAAACUCUAUGCACUGAUCAAAAGUGGUAUGCUAUCACCAGAGGUAGUCAUUAUAAGAAAUCUUGAUCCUGAAGUUGUAGUCGGUGGCAGGGAUGCUUUGAGUAAGAUAUUCUACUCUCGCUUUUUUGACUGCUGAGUACAAUUCUAAAGCUUCAAGUCUGAAAACAAGAUUGAAGUGGAUGAGUUUUUCAAGGACAUGUGCAAGUGGUUAGGGUCAUUAGAAGUUGGAUGCUCUAGCACUACUGUUGUAAAUAUUCAUUGUUUGAGAACAAGUCUGUAUGUUUAACCUUUUAAUCUAAUUGGUUCACUGAAGACCUACAAUGUAUGUAGUUGAUAAGGUCAUUGAUAACAAUAGUUGGUGCUAUUUAUAUCAAAUUUUUUUAAUGGUACUGUGAUGGAAUUAAUAAUGGAAUCCAAUAUAUUAAUUUUCCCC